rnacentral:lncRNA from 1 species
UGGCAACAGCGGAUAUUGUAGACGCAGAAGUACGUGAGCUUGUUGAGAAAGCAUACAUUAGGGCAACCACAAUCAUCACAACACAAAUCGACAUCUUGCAUAAACUCGCCCAACUUCUAAUGGAGAAAGAAACAGUCGAUGGUGAAGAAUUCAUGAGCCUUUUCAUCGAUGGGAAAGCCGAACUCUACAUCCUAGAUUAGGAAAAUUUGCGCAAUUUAUAUGUAAAAACAUAAGUUUGACA